rnacentral:rRNA from 1 species
AACGAACGCUGGCGGCAUGCCUAACACAUGCAAGUCGAACGAGAACUUCGGGGCUAGUGGCGCACGGGUGCGUAACGCGUGGGAAUCUACCCUUGGGUUCGGAAUAACAGUUAGAAAUGACUGCUAAUACCGGAUGAUGACGUAAGUCCAAAGAUUUAUCGCCAAAGGAUGAGCCCGCGUAAGAUUAGGUUGUUGGUGGGGUAAUGGCCUACCAAGGCGACGAUCUUUAGCUGGUCUGAGAGGAUGAUCAGCCACACUGGGACUGAGACACGGCCCAGACUCCUACGGGAGGGAGCAGUGGGGAAUAUUGGACAAUGGGCGAAAGCCUGAUCCAGCAAUGCCGCGUGAGUGAUGAAGGCCUUAGGGUUGUAAAGCUCUUUUACCAGGGAUGAUAAUGACAGUACCUGGAGAAUAAGCUCCGGCUAACUCCGUGCCAGCCGCCGCCGUAA